AACACUGAUACUGUAGUAGUUCUGAUAGACAGUCAUGAAGUUCUUACUUGUGUGUCUUAUUCUCUUCCUCUCAUUGUCAAGAUUUACCCAAGCCAAAAAGAAAAGAUGUUCAGAGGGUGGUGUGUGCCGACCUUACAAAGAAUGUUAUAGGGAAGAGACAUACUGGGGACGCUGCCCUUGGAACCGUAAGAAGAUCUAUUGUUGCUUCUGGAAAUGCCAACUAUGUUUGUAGGCAUCGAGGAGGGGGUCUGUGUUCCCUAUUACUGUCCUCCUGAACGAAACCUUGGGACAUGGGGAUGUAAUGGGGGAUUUACAUGCUGUAGAAGAAUUUGAAAAUAAUGAAAUCUCCUUGGAUAUCUUCAAGAGCUGAGUAAUGACUUGACAUCAGCAUUUCCCAUCACUUUAUUUUUCUUUAUCUCAAUCCAAAUUGCUAUCUAUGCAUAGAAGAAAAAAAUUAGCAAAUUUCCCUGAAAAUAUAGCUAA